UGUGCAGGUCUGUAUAAAAAAAUUCCAAAUGGUCGUUCCUUUUGAUCAGCUACCAUUGAGCAGGAUGGGCUUUGAAGGAUAUUGUUCAACCAUGCAAAUUUUUUGUCUGAGAAGUGGACAGACUUCAAGAGCUGUUAACUCUUAAAUCGACCGUGCUUUCUCCAUUUGCCACCCUCUCGACUGAGCCGGUGCUCACAGCAAUGUUCUGGAGGAUCACACAGAAAACAAAUACAUUUUGUGGGCCAGGCAGAGGACACCUGGCUGCAUAAGGGAGACAUAAUAGAAAAGAAUUGCAAAGAUCAUGUUUUACAGUCACUGGAGUAGAGAGCAAUAUUCUGCUCACAUCAGACAUCAGCAGUCUUCAUCUCUCCUGGGGCUAAAGAUGAUGAGCUCAUCAGAUCUUCAUAACAAGUGUGGAGAAUAGCCAAGAGGAAGAAAGGAAAGAGGAAUUGCCAGAGAACAGAAGUCUGAACAAGAUCUGGACAAGCAUUCAAAAAUCAGAAGCUUGUCCAAAUUAUUCAGGCCUCAGAAGUAGGAAGAACUGAGCAGAAUGGAGGGUACAGAGCAGAGAACAAACUGCAGCUACCAAAGGAAAUAUGGAUCUCCCAUGACCAGUUCAUCAGUGACAGUCCAGAUCAUACACUGUGCACAACUGCAGGAGCACAAGCAGAAGAACCAGCUGUGGAGCGUGCUGGAGUGUACAGAGCUCUGGACCCCAUCCCUCCUUGAGGGCUGGGUAAAAAUGGACAGUGGGAGAAUUGGAAGGCUGGGACAUCAAAAGUGCCAAAGGACAAGGACAUUUUUAUUCUAAGGGAAUUGCCAGUAUCCAUUUAUUUCUUGGCAGAGUAAUUAGGCCGCUCAGAGCUCUGUGCUGCCAUGGCUACACUGCUUCAGGUACC